rnacentral:rRNA from 1 species
AUUGAACGCUGGCGGCAUGCCUUACACAUGCAAGUCGAACGGUAACGGGCCUUCGGGUGCCGACGAGUGGCGAACAGGUGAGUAAUGUAUCGGAACAUACCUUUCAGUGGGGGAUAACGUAGCGAAAGUUACGCUAAUACCGCAUAUUCUGUGAGCAGGAAAGCAGGGGAUCGCAAGACCUUGCGCUGAUUGAGCGGCCGAUAUCAGAUUAGCUAGUUGGUGAGGUAAAGGCUCACCAAGGCGACGAUCUGUAGCGGGUCUGAGAGGAUGAUCCGCCACACUGGAACUGAGACACGGUCCAGACUCCUACGGGAGGCAGCAGUGGGGAAUUUUGGACAAUGGGGGCAACCCUGAUCCAGCCAUGCCGCGUGAGUGAAGAAGGCCUUCGGGUUGUAAAGCUCUUUCGGCCGGGAAGAAAUCGUAUGGGUUAAUACCCUGUGCGGAUGACGGUACCGGCAUAAGAAGCACCGGCUAACUACGUGCCAGCCGCCGCCGUAAGAC